GACGAACGCUGGCGGCGUGCCUAAUACAUGCAAGUAGAACGCUGAAGAGAGGAGCUUGCUCUUCUUGGAUGAGUUGCGAACGGGUGAGUAACGCGUAGGUAACCUGCCUUGUAGCGGGGGAUAACUAUUGGAAACGAUAGCUAAUACCGCAUAACAAUGGGUGACACAUGUCUUUUAUUUGAAAGGGGCCAUUGCUCCACUACAAGAUGUGCCUGCGGUGUAUUAUCUAGUAGGUGAGGUAAUGGCUCACCUAGGCGACGAUACAUAGCCGACCUGAGAGGGUGGUCGGCCAAACUGGGAACGAGACACGGCCCAGACUCCUACGGGAGGCAGCAGUAGGGAAUCCUCGGGAAUGGGAGAAAACCUGAACGGGGAAAGCCGCGUGAGUGAAGAAGGGUUUCGGAUCGUAAAGAUCCGUUGUAAGUAAAGAAAAGGUGUGAGGGUGGAAAGUUAACACUGUGACGGUAGCUAACCAGAAAGGGACGGCUAACUACGUG
rnacentral:rRNA from 1 species